rnacentral:misc_RNA from 1 species
GCAUACUAUUGCAGGAUCAUCAUUCAGGGAUGAUGAAAGCCUUGCCAGUUUACCUUCAGUUUCAAGUUACAUGACGCCAUCGAAGGCUGUGAAGAAUCGGUCCCGGUUGGCAAGUUCAUCCAGAACAGAGAAGAAAGGAACAAUGGAAAAAGGAUCUGCAAGUGCAGGUUCUGCAAAAAAACAACUUUCCUUUUCAGCUUUUCCUGUUAAGCCAA